AAUCCCAUGAGUUAGCAUACAACACCACUUCUUUCAAAAUCAUUAUGACAUUAUACCUAUCUUAACAACUAAACAAAAACUUGAUGAUGACCUAGAAUUGGAGGGGGAGUCCCUGGAAACUAGCUACUAGCUUACCAUGAUUUCUCAGCCUUCGUCUCUCAGAAGUGGUCACUCUUGACUCAUUUUAUGUGGAUGGCUGCUCUUUGGGAGAUGUUUAUCAGGUUGAAACAUGGCCUGCAUUAGUGGAAUCGAUGGGUAUUCGGUGAUAUUUUCCAGCGAGUGAGGGACUCUGAGGAGAGUAUCGACAAAGUAGCGAUUGAAAAGUUGAGACCAGGUAUGUAUAUAUUGUGGUGAGUAUGAGAGUUUCUUAUAUACUUUGUAGGUAAACACAAUUAUUAUAUCAAAUCACUUUUUAUGUAAUUUUACAUUGUUAUAAGUUUGGUUCAAUUUUAUAUAUGGAUUCAUGGGUAUGGUAUUGAUACAAUUUGUUUGAACGAACUUUUUACUUAUUAUUUACCAUCUCUUAUGCAAUAAAACACAGACUAAGUUUUUGUUUUAGAAGAUUUAUUUUUACUCAAAACUAGAUAUUCUCCUAUUAUGGAGGCACCAAUAAAUACAAUUUCUCCACAUUUUGAAAGGGGGAUUCCACACACUAAGAGGCAAGAAACACACUUUGAAAUUAAAGAGAAGCAAUUCAAGGGAUGAAAACAACAAGCAAUUAAACUUUUGGAUCAUUGAUUGGAAGAGGGAGAUGAUCUUGGUACUAAAUUAUAAUUUGGUCUUCUACAUUUUUACUACAAAUUCGGUGAUGUAUUCUAUGAUGAUUUAUUAUUUUUCCUCUUCCGUUAUGAAUAACUAAAUCUCUUGUUAGGGGUAAUAAUGUAACCCAAUUUGGGUCCUUUACGUCUUUUAGAUCCAUGUGCAUAAUCCAUGUAGAACUGUCU
rnacentral:lncRNA from 1 species